GCUGGGGUAGCUCAGUUGGUAGAACAUGAGAUUCUUAGCCAUGAGUUCGAGCCCCACCUUGGGCA